rnacentral:rRNA from 1 species
GGUGACUGCGUACCUUUUGUAUAAUGGGUCAGCGACUUAUAUUCUGUAGCAAGGUUAACCGAAUAGGGGAGCCGAAGGGAAACCGAGUCUUAACUGGGCGUUAAGUUGCAGGGUAUAGACCCGAAACCCGGUGAUCUAGCCAUGGGCAGGUUGAAGGUUGGGUAACACUAACUGGAGGACCGAACCGACUAAUGUUGAAAAAUUAGCGGAUGACUUGUGGCUGGGGGUGAAAGGCCAAUCAAACCGGGAGAUAGCUGGUUCUCCCCGAAAGCUAUUUAGGUAGCGCCUCGUGAAUUCAUCUCCGGGGGUAGAGCACUGUUUCGGCAAGGGGGUCAUCCCGACUUACCAACCCGAUGCAAACUGCGAAUACCGGAGAAUGUUAUCACGGGAGACACACGGCGGGUGCUAACGUCCGUCGUGAAGAGGGAAACAACCCAGACCGCCAGCUAAGGUCCCAAAGUCAUGGUUAAGUGGGAAACGAUGUGGGAAGGCCCAGACAGCCAGGAUGUUGGCUUAGAAGCAGCCAUCAUUUAAAGAAAGCGUAAUAGCUCACUGGUCGAGUCGGCCUGCGCGGAAGAUGUAACGGGGCUAAACCAUGCACCGAAGCUGCGGCAGCGACACUAUGUGUUGUUGGGUAGGGGAGCGUUCUGUAAGCCUGUGAAGGUGUACUGUGAGGUAUGCUGGAGGUAUCAGAAGUGCGAAUGCUGACAUAAGUAACGAUAAAGCGGGUGAAAAGCCCGCUCGCCGGAAGACCAAGGGUUCCUGUCCAACGUUAAUCGGGGCAGGGUGAGUCGACCCCUAAGGCGAGGCCGAAAGGCGUAGUCGAUGGGAAACAGGUUAAUAUUCCUGUACUUGGUGUUACUGCGAAGGGGGGACGGAGAAGGCUAUGUUGGCCGGGCGACGGUUGUCCCGGUUUAAGCGUGUAGGCUGGUUUUCCAGGCAAAUCCGGAAAAUCAAGGCUGAGGCGUGAUGACGAGGCACUACGGUGCUGAAGCAACAAAUGCCCUGCUUCCAGGAAAAGCCUCUAAGCAUCAGGUAACAUCAAAUCGUACCCCAAACCGACACAGGUGGUCAGGUAGAGAAUACCAAGGCGCUUGAGAGAACUCGGGUGAAGGAACUAGGCAAAAUGGUGCCGUAACUUCGGGAGAAGGCACGCUGAUAUGUAGGUGAAGUCCCUCGCGGAUGGAGCUGAAAUCAGUCGAAGAUACCAGCUGGCUGCAACUGUUUAUUAAAAACACAGCACUGUGCAAACACGAAAGUGGACGUAUACGGUGUGACGCCUGCCCGGUGC